rnacentral:lncRNA from 1 species
GAUGACCGCAGGCGGGAGCUUGAAGGGGACCGCGCGAGGAGAGCCCCUUUCUGUCCUGGCAACUUACAAGAUUAAAAUUAAAUUUGGUUGAUGAUGGUUCUGGACAAAUACAGCUCUUUUAUUUGAGGUAUGCCAUUUUGAAGACAGACCCGUGGAAUUUUAUCCUUGAGGAUAGGGGAAAUCUUUGUGAAAGUCUGUAUUUUAUAAAGCAACAAUAUGAAUCCUGAGGCUGAAUUGUCUAAGGGGCCUGUACAGCGAAAUAGAUGUAAGUUUUACUCAAUUUACAUGUUUAAUUUGUUUUUUACUUUUACAUGUGACUUUGGAAAUUCUGAGUAAUUGAGUCAGAGUCUCUAAAAAUGUAGAAGAAUUUAGUGAAGUUCCAAGCAGUACAGAUAUAAAUCAACAUAGAUGUAUGUGGCUUAUUAUUAAAAUUUUGGUUAUUAUUCCAACCUCUUUUCCUUUCUUUACUUAAAGAGAGGUAUAAAUGGAUGGAAGGAAACUCACAUUUGAACAUUCUUCUAAUACUGCACCCUAGCUGUUGGUAAGCUCCCCAUUUUUAUAAAUAAAGUUUUAUUGGAACACAGCUAAGCUCUUUCAUUUACAUAUUAGCUGUGUCUGCUUUCUGACUACAGCUGCAGAGAGUAGAUUUAGCUAAUGGCCACAAACCCUAACAUAUUUAGUUAUUUAGUAUUUUAACCUGUAAGGAAAUCUUGCCUAUCCUUUCCCUAGAUUCAUCCUUUUUGUCAACUUUAUGUAGAACUCAAAAGCACUUGGAUUCUCUUAAUAAUGGGGGUGUACCUUUUACUUUGUUAGUAUUUCAUUGUUAGAAUUCAAAUAACAUAAGUAAUCAUGAGCUUGGCUUAAACUCCAAAGCCCAACAAAGGUUCUUUCACACCAGCAUUAUGCUUUAAUAUUAGAAGAUUUGGGGAGUUCCCGGUGUGGCACAGUGGAAAUGAAUCAACUAGUAUAGUAUCCAUGAGGAUUUGGGUUCUAUCCCCGGCCUCACUCAGUGGAUUAAGGAUUUGGAGUUGCUGUGAGCUGUGGUGUAGGCCAGCAGCUGCAGCUCUGAUUCGACCCCUAGUCUAGGAACUUCCUUAUGACACAGGUAUGGCCCCAAAAAGCAAAAAAAAAAAAAAA